rnacentral:piRNA from 1 species
UAUAUGAAAAGAAGAAAGAGGACUGCUGGU